CAUGCGUCCCGUUUCAUCAGGUGAUUAAAAAUCUGAACGCACUACCAGCGCUUUUCAAUUUAAUUGCGCUUUCCUAUGGACAGGUUCUCACAUUCCUUCCAGCAAAAGGACCAACCCGUAGAAUGAGGUCCCUUCCCUGCUUCAGAUGAGGUCCCUUCAUUGCUUCAGAUGAGGUCCCUUCCCUGCUUCAGAUGAGGUCCCUUCCCUGCUUCAGAUGAGGUCCCUUCCCUGCUUCAGAUGAGGUCCCUUCCCUGCUAUUGGAGAUAACUUCAAGACAAAACUAUAUGAUCUCAUGACACUUGUUUGUAAAAAUAUUGCUUUUUGUUUCUUUAAAGAUUGAAUGGGGAACACAAUCUAAAGAGGGAACAAAUUUAAGAAAACACUUUGUACAGUUUGUUGUCAUAGAAGUAUUCUGGCAAGGACAUUCAGACAUUUGGCCCUGUCUUAUCAAUGUCAUUUCAAUAUCAAGGAAAAUAGCUUAAAUAUAUAUUUGAUCAGAUAAGGGAUAGUAAUUACCAGCACCUCACAAUCAAUGGAAUCAUCCAGGACUAUUGAAUUAUUUCUGUGAUUAUUAUUGAUUACACUGGGGUGUGAAAGAUGGCUGGGUCAGGUGAGACACACUGACGCAUAUUAAGUCAUUGAGGGUGCAGUUGAGCAUUUCUAUGAACCUGUCAACUUUUAAGGGCAGUUUGAGAACUGUGGAAUGUGUGGGCUUAAGUAAUGAUUAGGUUUGAUAGGCUACCUGAAAAGACUUGGCAUGGCCUAAGGACAGCAAGUAUCCUAGCAGUUAAACAUGCUGGGCCAGUAACAGAAAGGUCACGGGUUUGAAUACCUGAGCUGACAAGGCGAAAAAUCUGUUGAUAUGGCCACGUACUACUGUAAAACAACAUAUUUCACUGCAUCUAUCCGGUGUGUGUGACAAUAAAAUAUAUAUUUUUGACAACACAUAUUUUAUUUUAUUAAAUGUUUUACUAAUGUG